rnacentral:rRNA from 1 species
CCUACGGGUGGCAGCAGUGAGGAAUAUUGGUCAAUGGACGAGCGUCUGAACCAGCCAAGUAGCGUGAAGGAUGACUGCCCUAUGGGUUGUAAACUUCUUUUAUAUGGGAAUAAAAUGUUCCACGUGUGGGAUUUUGUAUGUACCAUAUGAAUAAGGAUCGGCUAACUCCGUGCCAGCAGCCGCGGUAAUACGGAGGAUCCGAGCGUUAUCCGGAUUUAUUGGGUUUAAAGGGAGCGUAGGUGGAUUGUUAAGUCAGUUGUGAAAGUUUGCGGCUCAACCGUAAAAUUGCAGUUGAAACUGGCAGUCUUGAGUACAGUAGAGGUGGGCGGAAUUCGUGGUGUAGCGGUGAAAUGCUUAGAUAUCACGAAGAACUCCGAUUGCGAAGGCAGUUCACUGGACUGCAACUGACACUGAGGCUCGAAAGUGUGGGUAUCAAACAGGAUUAGAUACCCUAGUAGUC